AUAAUUUCAAAGAUGUGAUUAUUUUCUAUCUUUCUAUGUCUCAGGCAAUGGCUGUACCAUCCAUUCAGCUGAACAAAUCAGAUUCCUAGAAUUGUCCUCGACAUGCCAUUUUUGCUUAGACUGACAUUUCUAUGACUAUUAAGUCAGAAGAAAACAACUUGAUCUUUCUUUAU
rnacentral:lncRNA from 1 species